GUGGGGGUGGCAGAGCCUGGUCAAAUGCGCUAGCUUGAGGGGCUAGUGACUUAGGUCUUCGAGGGUUCGAAUCCCUUCCCCCACA
rnacentral:tRNA from 2 species